AUACUUACCUGUGGGAAAUACCAUGAUCAUGAAGGUGGUUCACCUAGGGCGAGGCUCAGCCAUUGCACUUGAUUUGUGCUGACCCCGUGCAAUUUCCUCAAAUGUAGAAUCUCGACUGCAUAAUUUGUGGUAGUUGGGGGGACUGCGUCACGCUCUCCCCUG